AGUGAACGCUGGCGGCGUGCCUAAUACAUGCAAGUCGAACGGAAUUUAAGAGGGCUGCUCUUUUAAAUUUAGUGGCGCACGGGUGAGUAAUAUAUAGCUAAUCUGCCCUUUGCUGGAGGACAACAGUUAGAAAUGACUGCUAAUACUCCAUACUCCUUUUUACCAUAAGAUAAAUCGGGAAAGAAUUUCGGCAAGGGAUGAGACUAUAUCGUAUCAGCUAGUCGGUGGGGUAACGGCCUACCGAGGCUAUGACGCGUAACUGGUCUUGAGAGGAUGAUCAGUCACAUUGGAACUGAGACACGGUCCACACUCCUACGGGAGGCAGCAGUAGGGAAUAUUGCGCAAUGGGGGCCCUGACGCAGCAACGCCGCGUGGAGGAUGACACUUUUCGGAGCGUAACUCCUUUUGUUAGGGAAGAAUAAUGACGGUACCUAACGAAUAAGCACCGGCUAACUCCGUGCCAGCAGCCGCGGUAAUGCGGAGGGUGCAAGCGUUACUCGGAAUCACUGGGCGUAAAGGACGCGUAGGCGGAUUAUCAAGUCUCUUGUGAAAUCUAACGGCUCAACCGUUAAACUGCUUGGGAAACUGAUAAUCUAGAGUAAGGGAGAGGCAGAUGGAAUUCUUGGUGUAGGGGUAAAAUCCGUAGAUAUCAAGAAGAAUACCUAUUGCGAAGGCGAUCUGCUGGAACUUAACUGACGCUAAUGCGUGAAAGCGUGGGGAGCAAACAGGAUUAGAUACCCUGGUAGUCCACGCCCUAAACGAUGUAUACCGGUUGUUGCUGUGCUAGUCACGGCAGUAAUCCACCUAACGGAUUAAGUAUACCGCCUGGGGAGUACGGUCGCAAGAUUAAAACUCAAAGGAAUAGACGGGGACCCGCACAAGCGGUGGAGCAUGUGGUUUAAUUCGAAGAUACGCGAAGAACCUUACCCGGACUUGAUAUCUAACAAAUCAUCCAGAGAUGGAAGAGUGUCUGCUUGCAGAAAUG
rnacentral:rRNA from 1 species